ensembl:misc_RNA Metazoa_SRP Metazoan signal recognition particle RNA
GCUGGGUGUGGUUGCUCACACCUGUAAUCCCAGCACUUUGGGAGGCUGAGGCAGGUGGAUUGCUUGAGGCCAGGAGUUCGAGACCAGCCUGGCCAACAUGGUGAAACCCUGUCUCUA